AUGCACCACUCGCGCGCUGCGGUUCCUCCGCGCCGUCUGCACCCAUCUCGCGACUGCUCGCCAGGUGUUGCCAGCC
rnacentral:sRNA from 1 species